GAUUAACGCUGGCGGCAUGCCUAAUACAUGCAAGUCGAUCGGAUGUAGCAAUACAUUAGAGGCGAACGGGUGAGUAACACGUAUCCAAUCUGCCUUAUAGUGGGGGAUAACUAGUCGAAAGAUUAGCUAAUACCGCAUAACAAGUUAACUAUCGCAUGAGAAUAACUUUAAAGAAGCAACUGCUUCGCUAUAAGAUGAGGGUGCGGCAUAUCAGCUAGUUGGUGAGGGUAAUGGCCCACCAAGGCGAUGACGUGUUAUGCUGAGAGGUAGAAUAACCACAAUGGGACUGAGACACGGCCCAUACUCCUACGGGAGGCAGCAGUAGGGAAUUUUUCACAAUGGACGAAAGUCUGAUGGAGCAAUGCCGCGUGAACGAUGAAGGUCUUUUUAGAUUGUAAAGUUCUUAAAUUUGGGAAGAACAGUUAGUAGAGUGGAAAGCUAUUAAUUUGACUGUACCAUUUGAAUAAGUAACGACUAACUAUGUGCCAGCAGUCGCGGUAAUACAUAGGUUGCAAGCGUUAUCCGGAUUUAUUGGGCGUAAAACAAGCGCAGGCGGAUUAGAAAGUCUGGUGUUAAAAGCAAUUGCUUAACGAUUGUAUGCAUUGGAAACUUCUAGUCUAGAGUUUGGUAGAGAGUCCUGGAACUCCAUGUGGAGCGGUGAAAUGCGUAGAUAUAUGGAAGAACACCAGAGGCGAAGGCGAGGACUUGGGCCAAUACUGACGCUUAGGCUUGAAAGUGUGGGGAGCAAAUAGGAUUAGAUACCCUAGUAGUCCACACUGUAAACGAUGGAUGUUAAGUGUCGGAGCGAAUACUUCGGUGCUGCAGUUAACACAUUAAACAUCCUGCCUGAGUAGUACAUUCGCAAGAAUGAAACUCAAACGGAAUUGACGGGGACCCGCACAAGUGGUGGAGCAUGUUGCUUAAUUCGACGGUACACGAAAAACCUUACCUAGACUUGACAUCUUGGGCGAAGCUAUAGAAAUAUAGUGGAGGUCAACCCAAUGACAGGUGGUGCAUGGUUGUCGUCAGCUCGUGUCGUGAGAUGUUGGGUU
rnacentral:rRNA from 1 species